rnacentral:rRNA from 1 species
UACAGAGGUGGCAAGCGUUGUUCGGAAUUACUGGGCGUAAAGGGCGCGUAGGCGGCCUUCUAAGUCGGACGUGAAAGCCCCAGGCUUAACCUGGGAACUGCGUCCGAUACUGGGAGGCUUGGAUUCGGGAGAGGGAUGUGGAAUUCCAGGUGUAGCGGUGAAAUGCGUAGAUAUCUGGAGGAACACCGGUGGCGAAGGCGGCAUCCUGGACCGAGAUCGACGCUGAGGCACGAAAGCGUGGGGAGCAAACAGG